rnacentral:lncRNA from 1 species
GGUGAGGUUUGAUGGGAGGUGACUGGAUCAUGGGGGUGGAUCUUUCAUGAAUGGUUUACAACCAUCCCCUUGGUGCUGUUCUCAUGAUAAGAAUUCUCGUGAGAUCUGGUUGUUUAAAAAUGUGUGUCACUUCCCUCUCUCUCUUCCUCCUGCUCCCACCAUGUGAGACGCCUCACUCACCCUUUGCCUUCUGCCAUGACUGGAAGCUUUUCUGAGCGCUGCCCCCUACAAAACAGAAGCUGCCAUGCUUCCUGCACAGCCCACAGAACUGUUGAAUUAUUAGCCACAAUUCUCCCCCCUCUGAGGUAGGAGGAUGCAUCCACAACCUUGCCUUGGCGUCAUGGAAGCAGAGUACACUUCCCCAAUUCAAUAAACUUGUCUUAUCCAGUGGAAUAAGACUGGAGAUAUCUAAGUUUUCAUAAGAGAUCAUCAGAAGAAAAUGAAGAUCCAGGCUCUCUUUCAGCUGAGAAAACGCAUCCACAAAAUUCCAAAGAAUACCUGGAAGAGGAAAAGAGACACAAAGACAGAUACACAAGGAGACCAUGAUGAGGCAGAAGCAAGAGAUCACAGUGAUGCUUCUAUGAGCCAAGAAAAUCUAAGAACUGCCAGCCAUCACCAGAAGCUAAAAGAGAAGCCUGAAACAAAUUCUGCCUCAGAGCCUCCAGGAGGAAUCAUCCCGGGAGACAUCUUGAUAUCAGAUUUCCAGCCUCCAAAACUGUGAGGCAACAAAUAAUCUGUCAUUUUAAGCCACCAGUUUGUAGUCACUUGUUCCAGCAGCCCUAGGAAGCUAACACACAGUCAGCCUCCAUUUUUUGAUGUUUGACCACACACAGGUUUGAACCCUCACGUCUCCGUUUUCCUCCUACUCUGUACCUGGGAAAGUUGAUAACCAUGUUGAGGUGCUCCCUCCUUUGGUGUCAGUGGGAAUUUCAAACUACCUAUGGGAACACUCACUCCUUCCCCAUCACUGACCUCAGUAAAAACCCCAGGCCCAACAACUUUGUCUGUUCUCUCAAACCAUUUUUGAACCCACUAAGGAGCCACCCUGUUCUCGCAAGAAAGCCUUGUUAUAUGAGCAAUAAACCUUUCUAUAUUGUC